UGAGGAAUAUUGGUCAAUGGACGAGAGUCUGAACCAGCCAAGUAGCGUGCAGGAUGACGGCCCUAUGGGUUGUAAACUGCUUUUGUUUGGGAAUAAUCGACAUUACGUGUAAUGUUUUGCAUGUACCAUUCGAAUAAGGACCGGCUAAUUCCGUGCCAGCAGCCGCGGUAAUACGGAAGGUCCAGGCGUUAUCCGGAUUUAUUGGGUUUAAAGGGAGCGUAGGCUGUCUAUUAAGCGUGUUGUGAAAUUUACCGGCUCAACCGGUGGCUUGCAGCGCGAACUGGUCGACUUGAGUAUGCAGGAAGUAGGCGGAAUUCAUGGUGUAGCGGUGAAAUGCUUAGAUAUCAUGACGAACUCCGAUUGCGCAGGCAGCUUACUGUAGCAUAACUGACGCUGAUGCUCGAAAGUGCGGGUAUCAAACAGG
rnacentral:rRNA from 1 species